rnacentral:rRNA from 1 species
UACGUAGGCAGCGAGCGUUGUUCGGAGUUACUGGGCGUAAAGAGUGCGUAGGCGGUUUUCUAAGUUUGGUGUGAAAUCUCCCGGCUCAACCGGGAGGGUGCGCGGGAUACUGGGGGGCUGGAGGGCAUCAGAGGAGGGCGGAAUCCCCGGUGUGGUGGUGAAAUGCGUAGAUAUCGGGGGGAACACCAGUGGCGAAGGCGGCCCUCUGGGGUGUACCUGACGCUGAGGCGCGAAAGCGUGGGGAGCGAACCGG